UACGUAGGGGGCAAGCGUUGUCCGGAAUCAUUGGGCGUAAAGAGCGUGUAGGCGGCCCGGUAAGUCCGCUGUGAAAGUCCAGGGCUCAACCCUGGGAUGCCGGUGGAUACUGUCGGGCUCGAGUCCGGAAGAGGAGUGUGGAAUUCCUGGUGUAGCGGUGAAAUGCGCAGAUAUCAGGAGGAACACCGAUGGCGAAGGCAGUGGGCUGGGCCGGCACUGACGCUGAGGAGCGAAAGCGUGGGGAGCGAACAGG
rnacentral:rRNA from 1 species